GCGGCAGGCCUAACACAUGCAAGUCGAACGGUAACAGGAAGAAGCUUGCUUCUUUGCUGACGAGUGGCGGACGGGUGAGUAAUGUCUGGGAAACUGCCUGAUGGAGGGGGAUAACUACUGGAAACGGUAGCUAAUACCGCAUAACGUCGCAAGACCAAAGAGGGGGACCUUCGGGCCUCUUGCCAUCGGAUGUGCCCAGAUGGGAUUAGCUUGUUGGUGGGGUAACGGCUCACCAAGGCGACGAUCCCUAGCUGGUCUGAGAGGAUGACCAGCCACACUGGAACUGAGACACGGUCCAGACUCCUACGGGAGGCAGCAGUGGGGAAUAUUGCACAAUGGGCGCAAGCCUGAUGCAGCCAUGCCGCGUGUAUGAAGAAGGCCUUCGGGUUGUAAAGUACUUUCAGCGGGGAGGAAGGGAGUAAAGUUAAUACCUUUGCUCAUUGACGUUACCCGCAGAAGAAGCACCGGCUAACUCCGUGCCAGCAGCCGCGGUAAUACGGAGGGUGCAAGCGUUAAUCGGAAUUACUGGGCGUAAAGCGCACGCAGGCGGUUUGUUAAGUCAGAUGUGAAAUCCCCGGGCUCAACCUGGGAACUGCAUCUGAUACUGGCAAGCUUGAGUCUCGUAGAGGGGGGUAGAAUUCCAGGUGUAGCGGUGAAAUGCGUAAAGAUCUGGAGGAAUACCGGUGGCGAAGCGGGCCCCCUGGACGAAGACUGACGCUCAGGUGCGAAAGCGUGGGGAGCAAACAGGAUUAGAUACCCUGGUAGUCCACGCCGUAAACGAUGUCGACUUGGAGGUUGUGCCCUUGAGGCGUGGCUUCCGGAGCUAACGCGUUAAGUCGACCGCCUGGGGAGUACGGCCGCAAGGUUAAAACUCAAAUGAAUUGACGGGGGCCCGCACAAGCGGUGGAGCAUGUGGUUUAAUUCGAUGCAACGCGAAGAACCUUACCUGGUCUUGACAUCCACAGAACUUUCCAGAGAUGGAUUGGUGCCUUCGGGAACUGUGAGACAGGUGCUGCAUGGCUGUCGUCAGCUCGUGUUGUGAAAUGUUGGGUUAAGUCCCGCAACGAGCGCAACCCUUAUCCUUUGUUGCCAGCGGUCCGGCCGGGAACUCAAAGGAGACUGCCAGUGAUAAACUGGAGGAAGGUGGGGAUGACGUCAAGUCAUCAUGGCCCUUACGACCAGGGCUACACACGUGCUACAAUGGCGCAUACAAAGGGAAGCGACCUCGCGAGAGCAAGCGGACCUCAUAAAGUGCGUCGUAGUCCGGAUUGGAGUCUGCAACUCGACUCCAUGAAGUCGGAAUCGCUAGUAAUCGUGGAUCAGAAUGCCACGGUGAAUACGUUCCCGGGCCUUGUACACACCGCCCGUCACACCAUGGGAGUGGGUUGCAAAAGAAGUAGGUAGCUUAACCUUCGGGAGGGCGCUUACCACUUUGUGAUUCAUGACUGGGGUGAAG
rnacentral:rRNA from 1 species